rnacentral:rRNA from 1 species
AGAGUUUGAUCCUGGCUCAGAACGAACGCUGGCGGCAGGCUUAACACAUGCAAGUCGAGCGCCCCGCAAGGGGAGCGGCAGACGGGUGAGUAACGCGUGGGAACAUACCCUUUGGUUCGGAAUAACUCAGGGAAACUUGAGCUAAUACCGGAUACGUCCGUAAGGAGAAAGAUUUAUCGCCAAAGGAUUGGCCCGCGUCCGAUUAGCUAGUUGGUGAGGUAACGGCUCACCAAGGCUACGAUCGGUAGCUGGUCUGAGAGGAUGAUCAGCCACAUUGGGACUGAGACACGGCCCAAACUCCUACGGGAGGCAGCAGUGGGGAAUAUUGGACAAUGGGCGCAAGCCUGAUCCAGCCAUGCCGCGUGAGUGAUGAAGGCCUUAGGGUUGUAAAGCUCUUUUGUCCGGGAAGAUAAUGACUGUACCGGAAGAAUAAGCCCCGGCUAACUUCGUG